GAUGAACGAGGGCGGCGUGCCUAAUACAUGCAAGUCGAGCGAACAGACGAGGAGCUUGCUCCUCUGACGUUAGCGGCGGACGGGUGAGUAACACGUGGAUAACCUACCUAUAAGACUGGGAUAACUUCGGGAAACCGGAGCUAAUACCGGAUAAUAUAUUGAACCGCAUGGUUCAAUAGUGAAAGACGGUUUUGCUGUCACUUAUAGAUGGAUCCGCGCCGCAUUAGCUAGUUGGUAAGGUAACGGCUUACCAAGGCAACGAUGCGUAGCCGACCUGAGAGGGUGAUCGGCCACACUGGAACUGAGACACGGUCCAGACUCCUACGGGAGGCAGCAGUAGGGAAUCUUCCGCAAUGGGCGAAAGCCUGACGGAGCAACGCCGCGUGAGUGAUGAAGGUCUUCGGAUCGUAAAACUCUGUUAUUAGGGAAGAACAAAUGUGUAAGUAACUAUGCACGUCUUGACGGUACCUAAUCAGAAAGCCACGGCUAACUACGUG
rnacentral:rRNA from 1 species